rnacentral:rRNA from 1 species
AUGGGGGCGCGCGUCAUGGCGUGGUGGCGGGCAAGGGUGGUCGCGCCCAUGCGCCGCGCCUGCAGGCUCGCCGUCGCCGCCGCCCGCGCCCGCGUCCGCAAGGGUGAGUGCGGGGUCCUGAACCUUCACCAGGACGUGCAGACGUGCGGCUACCACGACGUGCAGGUGAUGUGGGACAUGCUCAGCUCCGACAAGGAGGCCGCUGCCGCCGCCUCGGCACCCGCGAAGCAGCAGCAGCGGCGGAAGAGGCCGUUCUGGAAGCUGCCUCCGUCGUUCUGGCCCGCCGGGUCGCCGCGCGCCGCCGCAGCGCAAUGA